AACGAACGCUGGCGGCAGGCCUAACACAUGCAAGUCGAGCGAGGACUUCGGUUCUAGCGGCGGACGGGUGAGUAACGCGUGGGAAUGUGCCCUUCUCUACGGAAUAGCCCUGGGAAACUGGGAGUAAUACCGUAUACGCCCUAUCGGGGAAAGAUUUAUCGGAGAAGGAUCAGCCCGCGUUGGAUUAGGUAGUUGGUGGGGUAAUGGCCUACCAAGCCGACGAUCCAUAGCUGGUUUGAGAGGAUGAUCAGCCACACUGGGACUGAGACACGGCCCAGACUCCUACGGGAGGCAGCAGAUGGGAAUCUUAGACAAUGGGGGCAACCCUGAUCUAGCCAUGCCGCGUGAGUGAUGAAGGCCUUAGGAUUGUAAAGCUCUUUCAGCUGAGAAGAUAAUGACGGUACCAGCAGAAGAAGCCCCGGCUAACUCCGUG
rnacentral:rRNA from 1 species